GCCCUCUGAGCCACAUGGGACGGAAAGCAUGCACGAUGCACCUGGAAACUCACACACACACACAUACAUGGUGCACACAAAUCCCCGGGCAAUGCAGACUCAGGUCAGUGUCCACACACUGGGGCCACCCCACCCCCAGCCUCAGACUCACAUAGUCAGGUCCAGACCCAGGUCACGUGAUGCCCAGACUUCCACAGGCACAUGGAAGCCCUGAGAGGCCUGCAGCCCCUGCAGCCACUGGGAGAUGUGCUCCAUUGCCUCCACCCCUCCCCACCCCGGUGCUGAGGCAGUGCGAGGAUUCCUAGGAGGGAAGUCCCGUGUGGCCCAAGGAUGAACUCUUUGGCCCUCAGCAGAGUGGUGGAUGGGGAGAAAUGGACGCUGAAGGUGGGUGAACAGAGGAUCUGGCACUGCCCUAGAAGAGAGAAUCAGAGGCGCACCUGCAACAGGGUGGGUUCUGGGCGCACGUUAUAGGUCAGAUGGAACCAAUGGCUCAGUGGCUGCUUCAAAGCAUCCAGAAGGGAAGUGAGCUGGGUGGCACUUGGGACUGUGUCUGGGGCCUCGGGCAUCACUCACUGGGAGGGGUUACAACAGGGAAGGGGGUGCAGGGUGCCAGAAUGGCCCUAUUGGUUAUGCAAACUGGGGACUCAAAUUACCCUGAGCACUAGUUCCUGGGGACACAUAGUCUCCAGCCAAGACAGGGGGGCUGCAGCCCAUAGCCUGAACCCCAGCGGGCUCUCAGAGUCCCUUCCCAGGCACCUGGCCCUCAUAGGAGAACACAGAGGCCAGAGGCCAGAAGAGCAGGGAGCCCCCUGGAGGCCAGAGGAGCUAAAACCCCCUGAGGGUGGCCUCAGGUGUUCCUGCCCCACCCCAGUUCUGCAGUCUCCAGCUGUCAGGGGUACCGUGAAUCGCAAUGGUCUCACCACACAACCCUGGACCUCCCUUCAGAAUCAGCCCUGUCAGGAAUCAGAAGAGCCCUUCUGAAGCCGAUGUCAGCCUGUUCCUCAGCACCAACCACCCCCCACCACCACCUCUGCUUUGGACCAGAGCCGGGCACUUCACCGAGGCUGAAGGGGGGCUGGCAAAGGCUAAACUGGCAGCAGGCAGCAUUUCCAGCAUGCAGUCUCUCCCAUGAAGGUGGAGAAGGAACUCCUUCCCGCAGCGGCCCAACUUCCGGGAGCCAGGGGCGACUCCAGCAGAAACCACGACCUCGUGCGGAGGACAUGCUGGAGAAGCCCCCAGGGCCCUGGUGCACUGGAUUCUUCCUGUGAGAACCUCAUUCCUCUCUGUUCCGUGUCUCCCAGUCCACCUCCUGCCUCCGAGUCCCCUCCACACGGGGACUGCAGGGGACAGCGUCCAUGGAGCUGCUGGGAACUGCACGUCCGCACCUGUAUCCAGGCAUCUGUAGGGGGAGCUGCCAUGUUCUUGCCUGAUCCCUCCUACCUAGACCACUCUGGGCCAUUGAGACUCUUCCCUGGAACUGGGGUCUUAGAAGCCCAUUCAUUUUUAGUGGCUGAGAUCGCAGGCAGAAAGCUCAGGCACUGUCCAUGUCCAUCGUGGAGAACAGAGCCAAAGAAAGGAACGCAGGGAGCUGGUGCCCAGGGAAGAACAGGAACCAGAGGAGCUGAACAGAAGCAGAUGCUGCCAGGGACAUGGGCCACAAGAAAAGGGGGCUGGUGGAUCAACGGAGGUGACGUCGGCAGUGCAGACUGAGGAUGGUGAUUCGGGAGCUCCGACCAGACAGCACUGUCUCUGCAGGAAAAACCAAGCUGGAACUGGAAAGAUCAGUGCUGACUCUGCAUUUGUCUCCACUGUGAGAUACCAUGUCCAAUAUUGCCACGAUAAUUCAGCUGAUGGAAGUAAAAUGAUUCCAUCUCUUGACAACAGGUUUAUGACUCCUCUAUUUUUAAAAACAAGCUAAAUAUUUUAUUUCUUUCAAAGAAAAAUGUGAUUUUUUUUUCCUUACCAGCCACAAUAACUUAAAUGAGUGACACCCUUCAGUGCAUAUAUGUAUCGUGUUUUUCUCUUUUUGAAUAGCUAAUACAUAUAUAUGACUGUCUUAGAAAACAGAGCACAGAGGGGUGGGUGGUAAAAAGUGACUCUUCCCCUCUCCCACUCUGCAUUUAAAGCACUGAUACUGGGGUUGGCAUCCAGCACCAUGGCUAGGACACCACUUGGGAUACCCACAUCCCAGAUCAGAACAUCUGGGUCCGAGUCCCAGCUCCAUUCUCAAUUCUAGCUUCUUGGAAGGCAGCCGGCAAUGGCUCCACUAGUUGGGAGACCUGGAUUGAGUUCUGGGAUCCUGGUUUUCAGCCUGGCCCAUCCCUGGCUGCUGUGGGCAUUUGAGGAGUAAACUAAUAGUUAGGAUCUCUCUCUCUCUCUCUCUCUCUCUCUCUCUCUCUCUCUCACUGCAUUUCAAUAAAAUUUAA